rnacentral:rRNA from 1 species
AGAGUUUGAUCCUGGCUCAGGACGAACGCUGGCGGCGUGCCUAAUACAUGCAAGUAGAACGCUGAAGAGAGGAGCUUGCUCUUCUUGGAUGAGUUGCGAACGGGUGAGUAACGCGUAGGUAACCUGCCUUGUAGCGGGGGAUAACUAUUGGAAACGAUAGCUAAUACCGCAUAACAAUGGAUGACACAUGUCAUUUAUUUGAAAGGGGCAAUUGCUCCACUACAAGAUGGACCUGCGUUGUAUUAGCUAGUAGGUGAGGUAACGGCUCACCUAGGCGACGAUACAUAGCCGACCUGAGAGGGUGAUCGGCCACACUGGGACUGAGACACGGCCCAGACUCCUACGGGAGGCAGCAGUAGGGAAUCUUCGGCAAUGGGGGCAACCCUGACCGAGCAACGCCGCGUGAGUGAAGAAGGUUUUCGGAUCGUAAAGCUCUGUUGUAAGUCAAGAACGAGUGUGAGAGUGGAAAGUUCACACUGUGACGGUAGCUUACCAGAAAGGGACGGCUAACUACGUGCCAGCAGCCGCGGUAAUACGUAGGUCCCGAGCGUUGUCCGGAUUUAUUGGGCGUAAAGCGAGCGCAGGCGGUUUGAUAAGUCUGAAGUUAAAGGCUGUGGCUCAACCAUAGUUCGCUUUGGAAACUGUCAAACUUGAGUGCAGAAGGGGAGAGUGGAAUUCCAUGUGUAGCGGUGAAAUGCGUAGAUAUAUGGAGGAACACCGGUGGCGAAAGCGGCUCUCUGGUCUGUAACUGACGCUGAGGCUCGAAAGCGUGGGGAGCGAACAGGAUUAGAUACCCUGGUAGUCCACGCCGUAAACGGUGGAUGCUGGAUGUGGGGCCCGUUCCACGGGUUCCGUGUCGGAGCUAACGCGUUAAGCAUCCCGCCUGGGGAGUACGGCCGCAAGGCUAAAACUCAAAGAAAUUGACGGGGGCCCGCACAAGCGGCGGAGCAUGCGGAUUAAUUCGAUGCAACGCGAAGAACCUUACCUGGGCUUGACAUGUUCCCGACCGCGGCAGAGAUGUCGUUUCCCUUCGGGGCGGGUUCACAGGUGGUGCAUGGUCGUCGUCAGCUCGUGUCGUGAGAUGUUGGGUUAAGUCCCGCAACGAGCGCAACCCUCGCCCUGUGUUGCCAGCACGUCAUGGUGGGAACUCACGGGGGACCGCCGGGGUCAACUCGGAGGAAGGUGGGGAUGACGUCAGAUCAUCAUGCCCCUUACGUCCAGGGCUUCACGCAUGCUACAAUGGCCGGUACAACGGGAUGCGACACGGCGACGUGGAGCGGAUCCCUGAAAACCGGUCUCAGUUCGGAUUGGAGUCUGCAACCCGACUCCAUGAAGGCGGAGUCGCUAGUAAUCGCGGAUCAGCAACGCCGCGGUGAAUGCGUUCCCGGGCCUUGUACACACCGCCCGUCAAGUCAUGAAAGUGGGUAGCACCCGAAGCCGGUGGCCUAACCCUUUGUGGAUGGAGCCGUCUAAGGUGAGACUCGUGAUUGGGACUAAGUCGUAACAAGGUAGCCGUACCGGAAGGUGCGGCUG